ACUGCCCACUGAAAUUUUUAAAAGGCCGCAGUAAUUUGACUGUGCAAAGGUAGCAUAAUAAUUAGUUUUUUAAUUAAAAGCUUGUAUGAAGGGUUGGACGAAGUAAAAUCUGUCUCUAUUUAAAUAAUGUUAGAAUUUAAUUUUUAAGUUAAAAAGCUUAAAUUUUUUUAAAAGACAAGAAGACCCUAUAGAUCUUUAUAUUAUUAUAAAAUAAUUUUAAUUAUGAAUAUUUAAUUUUUUAUUUUAUAUAAUAUUUUAUUGGGGUAAUAAAAAGAUUAUAUAAAUUCUUUUAUUUUAUUUACAUUGAUGAGUGAUUUUUGGUGAUCCAAUUAUUUUGAUUAAUAGAUUAAGUUACCUUAGGGAUAACAGCGUAAUUUUUUUGUAGAGUUCAUAUCGAUAAAAAAGUUUGCGACCUCGAUGUUGGAUUAAAAAUUGUUUUAGGCGUAGAAGUUUAUAAAUUUGGUCUGUUCGACCAUUAAAUUUUUACAUGAUCUGAGUUCAGACCGGUGUAAGCCAGGUCGGUUUCUAUCUUUAUAUAUUUAUAAUAUUUUAGUACGAAAGGACCAAAUAUUUAAUAUACUAAUAUUUAUUAUUUUGAAUGUUAUUAAAU
rnacentral:rRNA from 1 species